AUCUUUGGUAGGGUCUACCUAGGAAAGGUUGUGACCAGAAAAAGGAGCUUGUGGCAAAUGAGAUCAUCCAAAGACUUGAAAAAAGGUUGUUUCUUGGUCUUCUAGACUUGGUAGUCCUCAAGGGCAUCCUUCUAUGUUUGGAUUCUAAAAAUAUUUUGAGUUAAUUCAUUAGACUACUUCAUGCUUUCACUUGGAAUUGCUAGCUAGCAGUGGCGGAGCUUCACCCAAAUUGCUGGGCGGGCCAGUGGAGCCUAGCUGAAGGAAAUUACUACUACGCUGUUAUUCGAUGUCCAAGUAAAUAGGUAAACAUUACAGAAAUUUGCAUUGGUUGGGCGGGCCAGGGCAUAGGUUGGCCCAGUCGUAGCUCCGCCACUGCUGGCUAGUAGUCCUCGAAAUGACAAGGGAGCAUGAGAAGUCUGUUGUAAUUGACAGUGUAUACAUGAUCAGCCUAUUGAUGAUGCAGUACUUAAUAUUAUGAUUAUCUGGUUUACUUGUUGUAUUUUAUUGCGCAUACUAGACCACCAUGCAUCCCCAACCAGGUAAAAAUGUUAUAUCAGGGGGCUUUCAUGAGCUACUUGCACAAUCCUUUAAGCUAUGUUGUGAACUUUAGUGGCCUUAUUUAAGAUUUGUAGGUUGCAGUGUCUUGUGAUGAUUCCAUCAGAAAUCAAAGCUUUAAAUUGGGCUCAUUUGCAGAGCGGAAAUAUAGAGAAUGGACAUCUCAAGGGAAGGAACAUGCCCAAUAUAAUGGCCAAAGAAGGAAUGGAAAUGAGGCUGUAAUAUCAUCUUUGUUCCCAUUUCUUUCAGGAAGUCACAGCUAGGAGUGGGCUAUAAUAUCUCUUUUUUGUUCGGGAAGGAACGUGCUGAAUAUGACCGCCAGUAGCCCUUUUAUCUUUCUCUGAAAGAACUAUGAGCUAGCGUUAGAUUCUUUUCCUGGUACAUAGUUGGUAUGUACAAUUAUCACACAAUAAUGAUCACCAAUGUUUACAUUGUUUGAAUCAUUAACCCAUAUGAUUUCCACUGAUGCAUUUAAUGGG
rnacentral:rRNA from 1 species